rnacentral:rRNA from 1 species
AUAGCUAAUCUGCCCUACACUAGAGGACAACAGUUGGAAACGACUGCUAAUACUCUAUACUCCUCUUUAACAUAAGUUAGAUAGGGAAAGUUUUUCGGUGUAGGAUGAGGCUAUAUUGUAUCAGCUAGUUGGUGAGGUAAUGGCUCACCAAGGCUAUGACGCAUAACUGGUCUGAGAGGAUGAUCAGUCACACUGGAACUGAGACACGGUCCAGACUCCUACGGGAGGCAGCAGUAGGGAAUAUUGCUCAAUGGGGGAAACCCUGAAGCAGCAACGCCGCGUGGAGGAUGACACUUUUCGGAGCGUAAACUCCUUUUGUUAGGGAAGAACAAUGACGGUACCUAACGAAUAAGCACCGGCUAACUCCGUGCCAGCAGCCGCGGUAAUACGGAGGGUGCAAGCGUUACUCGGAAUCACUGGGCGUAAAGGACGCGUAGGCGGAUUAUCAAGUCUCUUGUGAAAUCCUAUGGCUUAACCAUAGAACUGCUUGGGAAACUGAUAAUCUAGAGUGAGGGAGAGGCAGAUGGAAUUGGUGGUGUAGGGGUAAAAUCCGUAGAGAUCACCAGGAAUACCCAUUGCGAAGGCGAUCUGCUGGAACUCAACUGACGCUAAUGCGUGAAAGCGUGGGGAGCAAACAGGAUUAGAUACCCUGGUAGUCCACGCCCUAAACGAUGUAUACUAGUUGUUGCUAAGCUAGUCUUGGCAGUAAUGCACCUAACGGAUUAAGUAUACCGCCUGGGGAGUACGGUCGCAAGAUUAAAACUCAAAGGAAUAGACGGGGACCCGCACAAGCGGUGGAGCAUGUGGUUUAAUUCGAAGAUACGCGAAGAACCUUACCCGGACUUGAUAUCUAACAAAUCAUCUAGAGAUAGAAGAGUGUCUGCUCGCAGAAAUGUUAAGACAGGUGCUGCACGGCUGUCGUCAGCUCGUGUCGUGAGAUGUUGGGUUAAGUCCCGCAACGAGCGCAACCCACGUCAUUAGUUGCUAACAGUUCGGCUGAGCACUCUAAUGAGACUGCCUUCGUAAGGAGGAGGAAGGUGUGGACGACGUCAAGUCAUCAUGGCCCUUAUGUCCGGGGCGACACACGUGCUACAAUGGCAUAUACAAUGAGAAGCAAUAUCGCGAGAUGGAGCAAAUCUAUAAAAUAUGUCCCAGUUCGGAUUGGAGUCUGCAACUCGACUCCAUGAAGCCGGAAUCGCUAGUAAUCGUA